rnacentral:lncRNA from 1 species
GUUAUUUAGGCUUAAAGCUGCCAGAGAGAGUGUGGCCAGCCUCGCUAAAUUCCUGGGGCCUCGGGCUCAGUCCUGCUGGAAGGUUGGGGUUAUUAUCUCUGCCAGAAGCCAGAAGAGGAAACUGCAGUUUAAAGAGGUUUGGAAAGCAUCCUCAGAUCACUGAGUAAAAAGGAACAUAUCAAGAAGGAGAACAGCUGGGUUGAAUGGAACCUCUACUUUUAAUUUUUUGAGGAAUCUCCACACUGAUUUCCACAGUGGUUGCACCAGUCUACACUCCCACCAAUAGUGGAGAAGGGUUCCUUCUUCCCCACAACCCUGCCAGCAUUUGUUAUUGGUUUAUUUCUUGAUAACAGCCAUUCUUUCUGGGGUGAGGUGGCAUCUCAAUGCUGAGGUUUUAGUUUAGAAAAACAACUCUUGGG